CGACCGUUUGGGGGGAAAACAAGCAUGGAGAUGUAGGGAAAAGGAGUCGCUCAGAGGAGCGGGCAUCUGAGAUUGGCAUUCAGAGGAAUGGCCAACCCUUCGCGCAAGAGGCAUCACGAGAACAGGCAAGCUUGGAAGAAUGUGGAGCGCACAAAGGUUGGGAUGGCUGAGUUUGAGCUACGGCUCAACGUUGACAACUAUACUUGAUGGUGCUCAAGACAAGCGAGGCGCUUGGAAAAGGAUGAGACCAUCUAAGGUGGAAUGAGUUACUCAAUGACCAAAAGAGUUCUGCAAAGCUCACAGAGGUGAGGGGAAUUGCUAACUCGAAGAAUUUGGUACUCAUGCAUGGGCUUGUAUGCGGACGAUGGAAUGUUCGUGGCCAUCCCAAGGCGACCGAAACUCGGCGCCAUGGAGCAUUGAAACUUUCUCUUCGGCAUGUGAAGGAUACGUCCGUAGGAGGUUGAAGUGUGCAACGAGUUCAGCAUGUUGCUAGGCCUUGAGGGGUGCAGCGGGGGCUGUAUUGACGGGGAGUCGCAAUCUAGCAAGUGCGUUUGCAGGAGGCAGAACAAUGCAUAGUUUGUUCAGCAGAUCGGAGUAGUCCAAGGGGAUGGUGGUCUCCGAAACAAAGAGAGAUGUUGCUCCAAUGGGAUAGUUAUCCAGGAGGGAUAAGUCCCGGCUCUCCAGAGGGAGAAUCAUGUGAGACAGACCUCACAUGUUGAGGAGUACCUCAACAAACAACGACUCCACGAAGCUCAAUGGACUGAGCAAGCGACGAGGAGUCGUCGUAUGAUCUCGCUUGAGAGAAUGCAUUGGGGGAUACAUUGCGAGAUCAAGUGGGGGAGCGACCCAAAGCAACUUAAAUGAAGGCACACUUGGAGUCGAUAUGGAGAUCAGACUCAAGGGAGGGCUGACCCGUGGAAUGGUGGGCGCGAGGGCCACCAUCGACUCAAUGUGAAAACGAGGAGCGGAGCAACUUGGGUGUAACUUGGCGAAGUACUCAAGCCGCAUGAAGGGAGCCAGCAUAGAAGUUGGAACGUGGAGCAGAGGCACAGUGCUUUCCUUAGACAGAGGUCAAGGACAUGAACUCUUGCAGAGGCAAGAGUAGGAUCAUGUUGUUCCAUGGGUCCUUCAUUCUGAUGGAGCGGACUCAUCUUGCAUGGUGCCAAAGACGAAGGGAGCUUCGGGGCACAUGCACCUUAUCUCGGAGAAGCAUUUGAUGGAGGAACUAAGGCGACUCAAUUUGCGGAGGCGAAGUUGGGUUCAGAAGGCCUUAGCACGGGGCAAGAGGACGCAGAGGCGGGUACUCUUGAAGAAUAUGCCACAGUGUUGCCAUUCGAGUUGCUAUGAAGGAACCGAUGCGCAGCGGAGAUUGUGCUGGUAGGGGUAGAGGCCCAGGAUCCAGACAAUGGUGCACAAAUUACAGUGAAGUCAGUGGACUUCGGGAGCUACUAGGCGACGGACUGUCCUAGAGCGGUGCUUCAUCUAGGUGUGACCCAAGAGUGGGUGGAUGAAGGUCGAUUACCAAAAGGAGCGAACAAAAUCGAAGGUGGAAGAGACCCUGCGAUGUAUUGGCAGAGGCCACACAUCGAGGGUUCACAAUUCGAGUUUAUUCCACAAGGAUCAGAAUGCAAUGGAGAUGUCACUAGGAGGCGACAUGGUGCAGCGGAUCGUGGUGGAAUAGUUCGAUGGCAAUGUGAUACACACGACCUAGUCCCGCGAGGGACUAGAUCAUACGGAGGUAUGAUCGGGAGCUACUGGAAGCUCCACUUCGGUGAACAACACGACGGCAAGAAGGGCUAUGAAUUCAAGGAGUGAAGGCCAUGGUACCGCAGAGGCGGGUCUUCCGUGCGUGCAUCGAAUUUUGCAUCGGAUGAAAACUUUGGUCAUCAGCAUAUGGGGGCUGGGUUCCACCAAGGGAAAAGUUCGGAUGCAAGUACCAGUGAGUUCCAUGGGAGGGACUUGAUCAUGCAGAGGUAUGAUCGAAGUAGCUGGAGAGUUGGAUUGCUCCAGAGCUCAUAUUCGCUUAAGGGAGCCUGGCAAGUCAGAGGACAAGGUCGAGUAAACGAACGUUGCUACCAAGGAAGCUAAGGAGAACAGAAUCGGUGCAAACCCUACAACGUGAUGGCAGAGGCCAUGCAUGGGAGUUGCAGUCUGUCUUUCCAUCGACCAAACGGACUGCUUGGAGAACACAGAGGUGUUGAAGCAGGGGGUCGAAAGGGGCGAGGAAGCGACGACGAGUCCAGAGGGACUUAGCUACCCAAAAUCAAGCAUCAGUUAGAAUGGAGGUGGACUCAGAGGAGUGCCACGGAGACAUAUCUACUGAUCAUGAAGAAAAGUGAUACAGAUGCGAGGCGACGGAUAGUAGGGCCAUGGGCAUGGCAGCGCCAUGGUACCGCAGAGGCGGGACUUCUGUGAAAGUCAUUGAUCCCUGGCUCUAAUGAGGGAGAGCGCUUGGUCGUGAAAGGGGCCGAGGAGGUAGAGCAUGUAGAGGCAAUCUCCAAGUACCGAGACAAGGCCGAAGGGCAGAGGCCGAGGAACUUCGUAAGACCGGUGUCAAUGAGCUUCUCAUCAAGUUAGCCGAAAGUGAAGGACUUCGGGUCAUGCAAGAGUGCAUAACCAAGGAACGAAGCAGGCAGUACGCGGUGCUGUACCUUUGCUACUCAGUGGAGUAGGCGGCAGGGUUGAUGGAGAAGACGGUACAAUCCCAGAGGCGACCAAACCUAUAAGCGAAUUACUCCAAGUUGGGGUGAAAACUUCCUGCAUUCCAGAAGUUCGAUGGCAUUGAGAAGGUGAAUCACAGUAACUAACUCAACGCAAGGAGUGCAAACACUUCAAGUGCUUCAGAAGUGUGAGCAAAGAGCAGGCGAAGGCCAGUAACCAGCUGGAUGCAUGGAGUACAACCUCGAGGAGGCGGGCGAAGUCAAGUAACUUUUGCCUUCUCAACUCUUAAGAGAAUGGGCGAAACCGAGUACCCCAAUUCUCUUAUCUAUCCAGCAGAGGAGCUCUGCAAGUUCAAAGACCCUUCGAAGAUAAUGGAAGACAAUAGUUGUCAAAUCCUCACCAACGGUGAUCAGUGCUACUGAGAGUAGAUUGUCCGCUUCAUUUCCCAACGAAAUGCCAAUCGAAAGAGGAAGUGAUGCGAACCUACUUGGAUGUGACAACUAAGUGAAAGAAGAGUCAAUGAGCAAAUUUUGUGGAGGAAGGACCCAAAACUUCAGAAGUUCGCGAGACGAUGCUCGUUAAAGCUCCAACAAGCAUCUAACCAAUUCAAGUAGCAUGAGAAAUUCGAGAGACUAGCGCAGUAAGGAUGGUCUUUUCCUUCAUCUGGGGGAUCCGCAGGAAUCAACAAGGAUCAACACAACUCAACCAACCCCACACCAGAGUUAGAGUCAUUGGUGAGUUGAAGCAGCAUGGCGGAUCAAAGGUUCGACUACUCAAAAACAGCAGCGGAGAGCAGCUAGGAGCCAAGAGGCGCAUUGUAGCUGGAGCAGAAGAUUGAAGACUCAACAAAGACGAGGAGUUGUAGUGUCGACAAAGGCUUCAACGAGGACGUCGAAGGUAUAAGUGGGGGAGAAUGUCACAGACAAACUUCGAAACAGGAUGUUUGAUGUAAUGCUUAUGUAUGUUCGUGUCUUUUGGCAUGUUCAUGCCUUGUACAGCAUGUAGAGGGGCGGCCGAAGGCAUAAUAGUCCCAUUUUAGUUGGGUUGGUGGUCACUUUAGGCUUGUAAAUAAAGGUUGUGUCAUGUGGACACGUGCGAGAGAUUUUCGGUCUGUAAUGGACCAUUUUACCCCUUUGUUGUGCCACUGUUCAGAGCUUGUAAAGUCUGUUUGUAAUUUGCAUUGUCUAUGAAGUGUUUUUCGGAGAUGUUUGCUUGUGAAUCCCGAUUGAGGCGUUCUCUCUUUUGUUGGUCCUAAGGGACAAUGGGAGGCUUCGGGGAGGCUGACCUUUGCGGACGGACACGCAAGGGUGUCGCACGACUUAGGCAAAACCAGCUAAGUCCGUGACAGUACGCCUCCUUUAUAUAUAUAUAUAUGUGUGUAUAUAUAUAUAUAUAUGUGUAUAUAUAUAUAUAUAUGUGUAUAUAUAUGCCUUGGCAUGUUGCUUGGUAUUCCUGUAUCAUACCAUACCAAGCAAAGCUCGAUACAUUAGUACGGUACGAAAUUUCAAUCCUUAGUUUUAAUCACUAUCACAAGCAUGUCUUCUAUGUGUUGUCAAAUGACUAACAGUACAAUUGUAUGUUCCAUUACAUGAUUAAAAUCAUUUGCAACUGAUAUAAAAUAUUUUCAGCAAGAUACCCCUAGUCCUUUUUCUAUGACCAGUAAUACAACACAGAAACUCUUUUCCCCCGUAAUCAACACUAGCAGAUUGCUAGUGACUGGGGAUAAAAUAAGCAAUAUAUAUCUUUGAUUAGAUAAAUAGCUCAGUUCGUAUAUGAUUUAUCAAGUCUCUUUUCUUAUUGCACUUGGUCUUGUUUCUAUUUACUAGGGGCUCUCUAGAUAAACUACUGUGGUAUUUGUGGACCGAUCAUAUAUUGGAAAAAUAGAAGUUUUCUGUUGAUCAAAUUAUUGCACCUGAUAGAUCCUGUCAAAUAUAUGCAUAGGGAGAUCAUGGGGAGUGUAAUUUGUGAGGAUGUUGGGUUUUGUUUCUCUUCGCUAUUUUUGUUUGAAAUAUUGGAAGUUACUCAGAUUUGACUCUGUUUCAUGCUUCUUUGUAAUCUGUGUAUGGUUUUGUAAAUUUGUGGUUGCUGAAGCUCUAUGCAGAGAGAUGAGGGGUUUGGAGUUAAACCCUAGGAUUAUAUCCAGUUUGUAGGUAGUUUCCAUUAAUCCUAAUUUCUCAGUUUGGUAGUGGCUUUGAAUCAGGUUUGAGCUCAUGUAAGAUGAUCACUGUGCCUUGAAAUGCUUGGAAAUCAUGUGAGCUCAUGCUGUGGAAUGUCGAGUGCAGGAGAUGAUGGGACAUGCUUCCGCUGAUGGCAAGGAAUUGCUGAUGAGCUUAUCAGGCCUCGGAGCUCAAAGUUCAUUGUCGCAGGUAGUGGUUGAGUGGAGGAUCUCAACAAUGUCUGGUGAUAUGCAUCCAGGGAACUUUCCUGAGAGCAAUCUUUUCUUUUGAUUCAGUGAGUGCUGAUGAAGUUGUCAUUCUCCCAAUUUUUGCUGAUGAUUCGCCUUUUAUUCCAGGUACCAGAUCAUUCAAUUUAGGAGUGGGUGCAAAGCCACUCGAGCAGACAAACAUUUGAGGAGAAAUGAGAUCGACUUCUGCUUGAUCAUAUCACAAUUAUCCGAGAACAAAUCUUCUUGAGGAGAAAUGAGAUUGACUUCUGCUUGAUCAUAUCACAAUUAUCUGAGAACAAGUGUUUCACCCUGCUUAAGAUGAUCUUCAUAUUCAGUGACAAUUCAGCCUUUUCCCACUUAGUCUGAAUCAUCCAAGCCAGAAGGGUGAUUAAGGAAUCCGAUGUCGUGUUUAGUCCUCGAUGCCAAUAACUUAAAUAGCUCCUGCAGCUUGAUCACCUCUUCAGGUGUGAAGCCCAUCAGAUUUUGCAAGGAACAAAUGUUCUUUGAUGAAUCACUACUCUGUUCACCUUCCUUCGGUUCGUCGUUACUGUUUGUCCCGAUUGCAAGUAAUAUUUGAAGUGAGUCACUGAUUUCUUUGUGAAGUUUAGGAGAACUGGUAUCUGAAGGAGGACAAAAGAAUAAAUAAAUAAUCGACACAUAUUAAUUAGAUUAGAAACAAAAAGGAGAGGAAAAAAGGGUUUGGACUGUGUCAAGUUAUCAAACGAUUCACACUAUAAAUUAGUAGAGUCUAUACAAGUCCAUGGUCCUUUGAAAUGUGAGUUUCAUCUAGUUCUAUGAUUUGCAUUCCAUGGCUGGGAGGACUACAAUUGCAUUUCAUAUUCAUUGUACCUUGGAAGUUUCCAUGUGAGUUAUGUCUGGUUCUAUGAUUUGCAUUCCAUGGC